GCCACCCUAGCUCAGUUGGUAGAGCAAAUCAUUCGUAAUGAUUAGGUCGGCGGUUCGAGUCCGCUGGGUGGCUCUA
rnacentral:tRNA from 1 species